AUUGAACGCUGGCGGCAGGCCUAACACAUGCAAGUCGAGCGGAUGAAGGGAGCUUGCUCCUGGAUUCAGCGGCGGACGGGUGAGUAAUGCCUAGGAAUCUGCCUGGUCGUGGGGGAUAACGUCCGGAAACGGGCGCUAAUACCGCAUACGUCCUGAGGGAGAAAGUGGGGGAUCUUCGGACCUCACGCUAUCAGAUGAGCCUAGGUCGGAUUAGCUAGUUGGUGGGGUAAAGGCCUACCAAGGCGACGAUCCGUAACUGGUCUGAGAGGAUGAUCAGUCACACUGGAACUGAGAAACGGUCCAGACUCCUACGGGAGGCAGCAGUGGGGAAUAUUGGACAAUGGGCGAAAGCCUGAUACAGCCAUGCCGCGUGUGUGAAGAAGGUCUUCGGAUUGUAAAGCACUUUAAGUUGGGAGGAAGGGCAGUAAGUUAAUAACUUGCUGUUUUGACGUUACCAACAGAAUAAGCACCGGCUAACUUCGUG
rnacentral:rRNA from 1 species